AGAAAAUUAGUUUAAUUUUAAAACUUUAACUUGUCAAGUUAACUAUAUAUAUAUAUAUAUUUUCUU
rnacentral:tRNA from 1 species